UCCGGAGGAGGCAAGCGUUAUCCGGAAUUAUUGGGCGUAAAGCGUCCGUAGGUGGUUGGCCAAGUCUGCUGUCAAAGGGUGGGGCUUAACCUCAUAAAGGCAGUGGAAACUGGCGAGCUAGAGUGCGGUAGGGGUAGGGGGAAUUCCCAGUGUAGCGGUGAAAUGCGUAGAGAUUGGGAAGAACAUCGGUGGCGAAAGCGCCCUGCUGGGCCUGCACUGACACUGAGGGACGAAAGCUAGGGGAGAGAACAGG
rnacentral:rRNA from 1 species